UACGUAGGGUGCAAGCGUUAAUCGGAAUUACUGGGCGUAAAGCGUGCGCAGGCGGCUUUGCAAGACAGAUGUGAAAUCCCCGGGCUUAACCUGGGAACUGCAUUUUGUGACUGCAUGGCUGGAGUGCGGCAGAGGGGGAUGGAAUUCCGCGUGUAGCAGUGAAAUGCGUAGAUAUGCGGAGGAACACCGAUGGCGAAGGCAGUCCCCUGGGCCUGCACUGACGCUCAUGCACGAAAGCGUGGGGAGCAAACAGG
rnacentral:rRNA from 1 species